UCGUGAUAGCAGCCCUCACUUCCCUGUGAGCUGCAGCCUCGACAAUGGAACGAAGACAGUCCCUCAGUGCACUAGCUGUGUGUGUCAUCUGCAGAGCAAGGGUGUCCUCUUGCUGUGGCUCUUACACCCCACUUAGAAAUAGC